GUGCCCCCCUACUGGGCGGGCGGCUCCACACCCCCUUGCAUGCUAAAGCUGCACUCCUCCAACUGUGCUAAGGCCAGAUCGGUGAGCAAGCAGCUCUGUGACUCCCAUAUGCCCGCACACCCUUCCAACGACGUCGGCUGGUACAAAAAAAAAAAAAGGAGAAAAGAGAAUCUGAUCUGAAGUCGGAAUCAAAGUGAUCCAAG
rnacentral:lncRNA from 1 species